CGAGAAACGGGACGGAUGCCUCCUGCGCCCGCCGACGGCUCAUGAACGCCACCGGAGAGGGAUGUGAAAGGGGGCGGCCGGCUCAAGCUGGGGGGGGGGGCGGCGCAAGAUCAGUGCACGGCCAGAGGCUCCCAGGAAUCCAGCACCACAUCAAAGCACCCGGGGCGCAGGGAAACAAAAUCUCCCCGUCUGAGACCCUGCGAGUCCCAGGGAAGCACUGGAGCUCCACAGAUGAUGCGGUCGACUCCAAGAAGCGGAAGANGGAGGACAAAGAUAACCUGAGCCGCCAGCUGAGGCUGGAUAAACAUUCCACAGUUUUCAUGUUUCCUCACACAUUCUUCAAACUGUCUUGGCUGCCCUGGCCUGUUCCACUGGAAAUGGUGACCUUGGGCAGGAAGAAGAUGGNGGAGACGGCAGCAGUGGGCCAGAGCUAUAACAGAUCAAGUCCUACGGAGCCAAGAGCUGGAGAGCGGGCUCGGCCACAGCAGACACGCCUGGAACAUCGCCUGAAUGGCACGGGCUGGGUCAUGGAGACUAAAGCAGUUGGGGUUACAGCUGGAGCAACACUGAAUAAUGGAAGAGCCAAACAAAACUCGGAGUGUGCUGGCAGCCGAGCCUGGGGGCCUAAUAGCGCACUGGAGGGCAAUUCUUGCCAUCCCCAGCGGUGGGCAAACGGGACAAGAGGAAGGGAGGGAACCAGCCAGCAGGAGGGGCCCUUUGCACACCGACCGAGGGAUGGGGGAGGGCGGCGGAAGGGGCGUGAGUGCAUUUCUAGUGAGCAGAUUAGUGUCCAGGGAGCCAGGGAUCCCCCUCAUUCUUCCACGCUGAGAUUUCACAAGGAGGCAGCAAAAAAACUUUGAUGGCGGCAGGGCCCUGUGUGCUGGUUGCCACAUGGGCACAAGGUGACCAAUUGCCUGUGACAGACACCUUGCCUGCUACCCCAGAGAUGCCCCUUUCCCCGUGGGCAGGUGCAGCUUCUGAAGCAGGAGAGGAGAGCAAAUUUCAGGCACCACCUUCUUGGUGGAAGAGUAUCUAUAAGGCGCCCAUCAGAACACGUUGGGGGAAUUGGCAAGGUCCAGGGCCAACACAGGCCUCGACUGCAGCCACAGAACAGCAAAAGUUUGCUGUGGAAAAGGCAGACAAAUGCAACAGGAAGCUGUUUUCCCAACAACCAUGACUUCAAGUGCCUGGGAGAAGCCGGAGGAGGGUGGCAAAGAGUGGCAGCCCUAACUGGGCAAGGCAGGAGGCACGGCUGCCAUGGGAAGCCUCCCAGGCCUCAGGCACCCUUUGCCAUCCCAGCCUGCAGGUGCUGCUGGCAGCGAAAUCCUUGAAAAGCCAAUGGAUCAGCUGGUUAGCAGCACCCUAUUGAUUGCUUAUUAUUUCUUGAAGACAUUGUUAUGCGGCUUCCCAUUUUUAAGCGGUCUCUCCUACCAGGAUGGAACAUUCUGGCUGACUUUUUUAAAAGUUCUCACCAGUGACUUUUCACGUCCUUGCCUCUCUGAGUCCGGCAGUAUUUUUGGGGUGGGGUGGGGAGAAGGGAAGCAUNGUGGUAAAUUUCUGCUGAGGGCAAUAAAACGGCUUGAACCAGCCGAGUGACA
ensembl:lncRNA